AAGCGAAACGCCCCUCGGGGCGUCGUCCUGGUGUGGUUGCCAGGGCCUGACGAGCAGCCGGAG
rnacentral:hammerhead_ribozyme from 1 species